rnacentral:rRNA from 1 species
GGAACGUAUAGUGAAUUAUUAAGUAUAUUUAAUUGAGUAUAUAUUAAUAUGAUAGUAUUAAAGAGGUUAUUAAGGAUAACUAGCUAGUAUAUUAAAGAGGUGUAAUCAAAAUCAUGAUUUUUUAUAUGUUUUCAUGUAAGUCUUAAAGGGAAACCUAAAAUUAAUACGAAGUGAAAGGAAACAUCUAAGUAACUUUAGGAAAAGAAAUCAACCGAGAUUCUAUAAGUAGUGGCGAGCGAAAGUAGAUAAGCCUAAAUAUCUAAAGAAAAAAAUUCUAAUUUAAAUUAUGUAUGAAAAUAUGUUAGUUUAAAGUUUCAGGUAUGAAAUGAAUAUCUCUGAUAAAAAGUUGGAAUCCUUUAAUUUGCGGAAGAUGGUGAUAGCCCAUGAGAAAGAGUAAUAGAUAAAUAAGUAAGUAAAACGAGAGAGAACUUGUUUGAAUAAAAAUUAUAUAUUUUGAAUUAAAUGUAUAAGAGGGGAACUAUCCUCUAAGGCUAAAUACAGUAUACUAAGCGAUAGUGAAGAGUACCGUGAGGGAAAGUUGAAAAGAAUAGAUAGGGAUACCUAUUGUGAAGUGAAAUAGAUCUUGAAUUAAUAACCUUAUAAGCAGUCGGAGAAUCGUAAGAUUUAACGACGUACCUUUUGCAUAAUGGGUCAGUAAGUUAAUAUUAAAUAUAAGUUGUAAGGCCUAAUGAAAUUGAUUCUUAAUAGGGAGUAUUGGAAUAUUUAAUAUUAGACCCGAAACCUAGUGAUCUUACUAUGAUUAGAUGAUAGAUCGAACUGGUGUGCGUAGCAAAGCACUCGGAGGAAUUGUGGUAAGGAGUGAAAUACAAAUCGGACUAGGAUAUAGCUGGUUUUCUGCGAAAUUUGUUUUAGCAAGUUGUUUAUAGAGGUUACUAGUGGGUAUAGCACUGAAUAUCCAGUUUGUAAGGAGGGAAUAUUAAUGAUGUUUUCUCGGAUAUUUAAUCUCAGAAUAAUUAGUAACAAAAGUAAAUAAUGGGACUUUUUGCGAUAAGGUGGAAAGUCAAGAGGGAAACAGCCCAGAACAGUUUUAAAGCUCCAAAAUUAAUAUUGAGUGAAAUAAAGGAAGUGGUUUCUCUGUGACAGUUAAGAAGUAGGCUUGGAAACAGCCAUCUUUUAAAGAACACGUAGUAGUGCAAUAAUCUAAGAGGAGCUGCGCUGAAAAUAAACGGAUCUAAAUAUUAUGCUGAAAUUCUGUCGUAAAUCAAAGUGUAAAAUUAAAUGUUUGUAGUUUAUAAUUUGAUAUAUGGGUAGCAGAACAUUUAGUAAAUGGGUGAAGAAUAGUAAUUUAUUAUUUGGACAUAACUAAAGAGAGAAUGCUGACAUGAGUAACGUUAAAAUAGGUGAGAAUCCUAUUCGCCGAAAAUGGAAGGGUUUUGGAGUAAAGCUUAACUGCUCUAAGUAAUAUCGGUCUCUAACAGUAACUCUAAAGAGUAAUGGAUGAGGGUAAUUAUAUGUAAAAGUAAAUAUGAGGAAGAUUGAAAAUUUAUUCGAGAAAAGACAUAUAUAAUGACCGUACUAAAACCGACACUGGUCCAUAUAUACAUAAAGUAUUAAGGCGAAUGAGAGAAUUAUUGCGAAGGAACUCGGCAAAUUUAUUUCGUAAUUUAGAGACAAGAAAUGCCUUGGAAAGAAGGUGUCACAAAAUAUUGUUGUACAACUGUUUACUUAAAACACAGUACUUUGCAAAGAUGAAAGUCUUAGUAUAAAGUAUGAGAUCUGCCCAAUGCUAUAAAAUGAAAAAUUAGUUAGGUUAGAAUAAUCUAGCGAUUCUAAGUUUUAGUGAAUGGCGGCCUUAACUAUAAGGGUCCUAAGGUAGCGAAAUUCCUUGGCCGUUAAAUGCGGUCCUGCAUGAAUGAUUUAAUGAUACAACGACUGUCUCCGCAAUAAACUCAGUGAAAUUGGAAUAGCCGUGAAUAUACGGUUUAUAUGUAGAAAGACGGGAAGACCCUAUGCAGCUUUACUGUAAUUCGUUAUUGUUAUUAAUUCUAAAAUUUGUAGUAUAGAAGGUAGUCUAGGAGACGAAAAUGAAAUACCUUUAUUUUUUGAAAAGAUAACUUACUUAUAAAAUAAGGACAGUGAGGGAUGGACAGUUUAUGUGGGGCGCAUAUCUCAAAAAGAGUAUCUGAGAUGUCCAAAGGUGAAGUAAAAUUGGAUGGUAACCAAUAAAUGUUCUUCUAGAAUAUCUAGAAUUUUUAUUAAAAAAUCUAGAUAAUGAAUUAUUAAUAAAAGUGUAAUGGUAUAACUUCGCUUAACAGUAAGACUGACAAGUCAAGCUGACACGUAAGUGGGGCAUAGUGACCCUCGUAUAUCAAAAUGGAAUGAUACGAGAUCAACGGAUAAAAGCUACGCUAGGGAUAACAGGGUUAUUUCGUGUGAGAGAUCUUAUUGACCACGAAGUUUGCCACCUCGAUGUCGACUCAACCUAUCCUCCUGGAGUAGAAAAUGGGAAGGGUUCGGCUGUUCGCCGAUUAAAAGGUUACGUGAGUUGGGUUAAAAACGUUGUAAAACAGUUUGGUUCCUAUCUUCUAUGUAGUAAAAAGUUGAAGAAGAGUUCGUUCUUUGUACGCAAGGAUCGGAAUGUAUUAACCUCUGGUUUAACUGUUAUCUUUUUUUUAAUGAAAAAUCUUCUAAUUGAAAAAGGGGGUAUGGCAGUAAAGCUAUGUUGGUAAGGAAUAAAAAUUGAAAGCAUAUAAAAUUUGAAGUCUUUCUUUGGAAACUUUAAUAAAAUAAGUUAUAGAUUAUGACUGUAAUAAUAGGCUUUAGCUGUAAGAAUAGUAAUGUUUUAAGGUAUAAAGUACUAAUUUUUAUUUUAACUAUGAUAUAC